rnacentral:lncRNA from 1 species
UUAGAAGCCCUUAUCCACUCCUACAAAGGUGCCAUACCUUAUCCCUUGUUUUUCUAGAAAUCAGCCACAAAACAACCUUUCUAGAAGACCUUAUCCCUUGUCCUACAAAAGUGACGCCCCAAACCUUUCUAGAACUUCUAGAAACCUGAUUAUUCCUUUCCCCCUUGGUCUCUAAAAGCCUUAGCCUUUUCCUUCAAGGAUUGUGUGUUAUUAUCCUAUACAAAUUAGGUUUUAAAUCCUUUUCCUUUGCUACAUAGGGGCUGCGAAUUUCAGCCUAUAAAUACCAUCUUUUGCUGCACCAUUUAGUCACCAUCCUCUACCAUAUUUUCACUACACCAUUCACCCAAACAUACCUUGUGUGCCGUGAGUUUGCAAGGAGAAGAAGGAAGACAACUUGGAGCCGUGCAUGCCAUUCAAGGAGCUUGGAUUGUGGAGCGUUUCUAGGUGUUUUCUAUCUUUGUUUUAAUGUUUAAAUUUAUUUAUCUUUGUUUAUUUGCGAGUAUGAGGAACUAAACCCCCCUUGGCUAGGGGGGGAUUCGAAACAAUGUUUAUGCUUGCUAUAUGAUUUGAUUACUUCUAAUUGCGUUUCAUAAGUUGUGAUUUCAAUUUGCUUAUCGAUGUGAAUUAAAACUUAUUCUUGUAUGUUGAUUGAGGGUCGACACUUAGUUUGCAUGCAUGAAUUUGAUGCUAGG